rnacentral:lncRNA from 1 species
GUACCGUACGAACGGUGGGUGGGAAUGUAAAGACGAAAUAACGGAACGUUAUUGGUUGGCAAGAUAAGCUUGACAAGUUGGCUCGGAUUCAUCUAUGCAGACAGUAACAUUUCCCCGGUCGGCAACAGUAAAUAAAAUAUGUUUCAAGCAAAGGACUGAUCGCUGGUGGCCAGAUCCAGACAUGAUGAAUUGGCGUUAUUACUGGACGAGAUCGUAAUAGAAACCAACAUCCGACAAUUCUCCAGCGCCGCCAACUGGAACUGAAGAGGGAUUCUCUUCAACUGAAUCGGAUGAUUUGACCGAGUAAACAGAAGUGGGACGGUCCUUGAAAGAUUUUCGCGACCGGAUUGGAUUCCGUCCCAAACUAAAUUAACAGAAAUUCGGAUCGAACGUUACAUUUUGGGUCGCCGGAAGACUAUUAUCUUCCUGUUCGGAGCACGUUUCCCAACUGGAAUGUCUUGAAAGAUUCAAUGCGUUCAUCCUGGCCGCUUUAUAUUCACCUUUGCCCUGAGAGAAUGGAGGAUGCGUUCCGUCGAAUGCGGCUGGCUGCUGCACACGUUUAUUCCACGCAUCAUUGUACUUGUAUUGGCUCAUAUCGACUGUGUAUCUUCUGCCGAUUCCAAAGGACGUCUGGCGAGGAUCGUUGACGCUUUGACUGGACGUCUCGCAGAGCGAAAGGUGCUGGCUACUUCCGCUAGCCCGACCCGCGUUUUCUUUCCCAUUUGUAUGUCUCCUCCUCAAUCUCUUCAACAGGUUCAGUUUCGCUAGAUUCCUGAUGGGUAGUUUGCUGCUGUUGGCUUCGUCUGUGGCGAAUCAGAGCUGGCGAUUCCAAACCAUCACCUUUACUUCUUCGGCUUCCGGAGGGAGUAAUGUAACUGUUUUCUGUCAAUGGAUCGUGCCUGUCUUCGAUGAUUGUUUGCGUCCCAGCGUCUACCAGCGCAGCAGAAUUCCGUCGAUUCGAUGAAGAACGGGAAGAGGAAGAUGAAGCGGAAGACCCUGGCCGUGAGCUUUUCGGUUGCGUUGUUGGUGUUAUUGAAGUCUUUUCUGAAACAUGUUCCAGUCGACGGAGGUGUGACUCGCUACGUCGCAUCAUUGUCUGAUGGACAUUAGAUCCACCGACGCUCCACGACCGCCUGUGCAGCGAUUGGGAGUGGGAAAGGACUUUAACGCGGCACGACCGACGUUUGCCGUAGUUGACCAACUGAGGCGUAUCUUGGCAACUCAUGCCGGGCAACGGUCGUAGCACCGUGACGGGCUGACCUGAAUCUUCUUCGACUUCAAGAAAAACUUCAGACCUGGGCCUGAUACCGGUAUCGCCUGUGGUCGAAUAAGAUUUCUUGGCUCCAGCCAAUCGUUCUUGAAUUGGCCUUACCAGGACAUCUAAAGAAAAAGAAUUGAUGAUUUUACUUGGGUCUGUUCUUCGCUUGUUCUUCGAGCAUAGCUUUAAGUGUAGCCACCUCAGCAAAUAGGUUGUUUACACGUUCCAGCUUUUCUUCGUAAAGAGCUCGAAUAUCAUUGACGUGCUUGAUUUCAGCCUCCUGCCUCACGAAAGGAUCGUGAGAUCCAUCGAAACCGGAUUCAGCGAAUUGGUAUCGCGUCUGUUGGUUGCCAUUGUUGUUGUUAUUUGGAUUGUAAUUGUCGUUCAAAGAAUCGCUGGAUGAUGAGAGUGGCGCACGACGGUGAUUCCGGCUGCUGUACGUGCUGGAAGCGGCUGAACCUGUUUUAGCGACGUAGCUGGGCCGUGAACGAACUUCCUUUUUCCAUUCGAGUUGUUGCAUGGCGUAGUGUUCCGGAUCCUGAUUGACGAGAUCGGCCGAAGCGAUCGACAAGUGGAGCAAAAUGGAUGAAAAUGAUGGCCUGUUUCGCGGCUUAGGAUCCCAGCACAUCCGCAUAAGCAAGAGGAAUCCGGCGGGACCUGUUGGUGGAAGAGGCAAGUGAAGUGUGCUGUUACCCACGCCGAAAAUGAUGGCCGCUUGGUCAAUGUCUCGAUAUGGACUCUCACAGAGCACAGUUCUUUGCGUAUGACUUCAGGAGCCAUCCACGCGUAGGUACCGAUGAAGGACAUUUCGACGCUGAUUUGAUUCCAAGUCCGACACGUUCCAAAGUCGCUGAUUUUUACCACAUUGUUAUCAGCGAGUAGGACACUUGAACCGAAUCAGAUAAGAAUUUGCUGUAAAAAUAAGUUUUUAUGCGUUUGGUUACUUACUUUGGACUUUUGAGAUCACGAUGGAUGAUCUUGUUUUGAUGAAGAUAGUGCAUUCCGGAAGCGAUCUGGACAGCCCAAUCGACAGUCAAUCUCGGCGACAACGUAUUGUUAUCACUACGUAGAAAAUUGUACAACGUUCCGUUUGGACAAUAUUCCAUAACCAAACAAUAAGGAGGAGCUCGAGUGCACACGCCCCUAAUAAAGCGAAAGAAUUUUACAAUUCAAACUGACGACACCUUGAGCUCCUGAUGCUAACCAUUCGAGGUCACGCAAUGAUUCGAACGGAAUCUCCCAUUCAUCUUUAAAUUUGAAUUGAAACAGACUGGCCGGAAGCAACCAAAAAUGCCAUCCAACCAUCCAUUCCGCGAUUCCGCCAAAUCAUGAGCUGCUGUUGUCACAACGUCUAGAUGCUGUUGACCGGAUGGCCCGGCUGGUGAGGAGCAAACUUGAGUCUGGAUAGGUGGCGGAAGCGAUGCCGAUGGCAAUGGAUUCGAACCUCCCGCAGGGGGACGAUGUCCCAUCCUUUGGAAAAGCGUCUCAAUCAAGUGACCUUGCUCCGUGCUAACGUCUCGCUACGUAAACUUUUUCGCGGUUAAAAACGAGAGAACUUGGACACGCUCUCUUUCCCUGCUACUGUUAUCUAGGCGUUCCGCGUUACUGGACGAGCCGGAAGUGCCUGCGGUGCUAGCUACUAGUGAGCUACUGCUUCUACAGCCGAAACAAAUCAACAACAGCAUGGUGUGAAGAAAAAAAGACACACACACUCGUUUGCUGUGCACGAUCUACGUGUCAAACGUUACUGGUGACAUCCAACGCACAACGACGACUAGCGACUUUGCUUGCAGUUUGCCGCCGUUAAAAGGGUGCGUUCCCUUUUUUUCGCCAUGUAUUAUGGCAGAUCCUUCCGCCUCUGUUAGUCUAUCGUUUCGACAAAAGGAGCCCCCCCACUCUAUCCCCACCCAAAAUACCGAAAAACAGGUGUGCACAGUGUGUGUGUGUGUGUGGAUGUCAAACUAUGUGAUAGCAGCUGCUAUAUUUGCAUUUGGAUCGGAAUGUUUCUCACGUGACGUCGUCGCACCCGAUUACGACAAUUGUCAACACGCUUAGGGCCCACGUUUCGGACGACGUGGAUGGCCGAUGGAGCGUUACGAGAUUCCAAGAGCGCCGCCGGAGGAGUUAAUUCCGGCGUGACGUUAUUCGAAUUGAGAUCCAUCGCGUGAGCCAUGACGGCUGCUGUUAUUUUCUUCGUUUUCACUCACACGGGGUUUUUCCUUAUUGUUGGUGAAAAGACUGUAUCAUGUUCCACGGUCGACUGGAUGCUGCUUCUGCGAAACAGCGCAGCCGCCAACAAACACGCAGCGUUUUGAAUGGCCGGCGAAGAAGACGGUGGAGGGGGGAGACGGACCGAUCAAUACGAUGCUCGAGCCAGCAGACGGCGCUGACAGCGGCACAACAGAGUAACACACGACUGAACUGGGCAACGUGCAGCAGACUAAUAACGUGCUCGAGGCCGACGCUUUUCCCUCCCCGCACACACGAGCACUUGCUAUCGUGGAAUCAACCGCGUCUACAUACCUCUAGGAAAAGGAGGAGACUUUCUGUCUCCUCCCCCUUUUUCCUCUUUCGCUCGUGGACAGGUAUAUGGAACAACUGAUGCAAUUUGAGCGGAAAAAAAAAGAGGUUCUACGUGAAAAUUUGAUAGAUCGAAAACCGGUUAAAACCAAGGUGAAAAGAAUAGAACACCGGGACACGAUUCACCAAACUGAAUAGGAUCUUUUGGUUUGACCCGGACUUUUUUGUUUUCGUUCGGAAAUACUUGGUAGAUAAAACGAGCAUGUUCCUCUGCUUGCAUACCAGCGCGCAGUCUAUCGUCCUAUUUAUCAAAAUGAAUUUUUUGUCCUUUCAGUAGUGCGUGUGUGCUAUGAUGACGCAAUGGAAACACAUUUAUUUUGAGAGCUCGCCAUUGGUCGGAUUUCAUUAUCCUUUUUGUGUUUCCAAGGUAGAGUAAUAACCAGAGGUGUAUUUGUAAAACGUACGCGAUGGAGGGAGGGUGAGGGAGAAAAUGUUUGUACUAGAGGGUGAAGAUAUUCUCUUUCAAAACAUUAAAAAAAAAAAAAAGAAAAUGAAAAUUUGAAAACGAAACCCCCCAAAUCCGGAUCCAUCCGUCUAGAGGUUAAUGUCCAGCCUCUCUCUUCAUCCUGUCUGCAUUUUCCCCUUAUUCUUCUAACUUGGGGGAAACAAAGAAAAAGGAAUAAAAAGUAAUCCGGGUCGGCGAAAAAGUUUGACAUUGAGAAUGAAAUGUACACACGUUGGUUUCUUUCACUACGUGGCAUGUACCGUCCAAGGAUUUUUACUGGUUAACAAGCAAAUUCACACAUUUCGUUCUAUUUAGAAUAACGAGGGUGGAAAAGAAGAGAUUAUUAUUCUUAUUCAAGGAUGUCUUUUCCCAAUUUUGAGUAGAUACAUUUAAAGAUGUAACUUCGUAAUCAAAUUUCUGGUUCAAACGUAACAGGCGCCAUCAAGGUGAGGAAGCAAACAAAAACCCUUAAAAGACAUUUUACCUGUUGGAAAAGGAGUUUCUUCCAUCCAAAAUAAACAAAAGGUAUGGGUCCUCCCCUUCACCCCCGUCUUUUUCUCUGUCGCUUUUUGCCUCGAGCUGCUUCUAUAGGAAGUGUAUGACUCAUCCAGGUGUUCAACCCACGCCGAGUACGAAGAGAAAAUCUUCCCGUAACCAAUAAACACACGAAUAAUGCGGUCUUGCCACUUCUUGCUAAAAAAAAACACACAGAAUUAACUAUCAAUUUAAUUAUUGUCGAUAAUAUCGAUUAUAUUUAAGGCACAGCAGAAGGAUGUAUUUACAGCGACAAUUCCUGAGAAACGGGAGAAAAUAACAUUUUUUAAAUGAGGCUUCCGAUUCCAAGAAUGACCACUCUGAAAGCUAGCGUUAAAGUUUCCCCUUCACGAAUCACCUGGUAACUGUGGUUUUGCAAAAGGUCCCCCCUCCUGCCCAUACUACGCGCAUUAAAACGUGACCUUCUGUCGUCUGCAGAGUGCCAUUUCAAGGAAAAAAAAAUACAGGCGUGAUGUACUUGUAAGAAAUUGUGCAUCCGGAUUGGUUUUCAGCCAUUUUUCUACGUGAAAUUGUGAACAUCUGUGACCGCUAUAAUAUUUAACCGCAAGACAUCAUCAUAUAUAGCCAGUGGAAGAUAAGCAGGUCAGCCGAAUUAAAAUUAAAGGAGAUACCUGCAUUUAAUAGAAAAGGUCCAGACGCAAGAAAAUGAGGCACGCGAUUUUCCGAUUUUUUGUUUAAUUAGAAAGUUGAGUAAUCCAAAUUUGGUUAGCUUAUUUCUUUCGCGAAACCAACGCCUUUUCGUUACCUGUGCAUUAUUCAUGUCUAGAUCAGAUAUUUGAUCAAUAGUCUUGAUAACAACUAUAACUGUUGUGUUUCAUACACAGUGAUCAGGUGAAUGUGAUGGAUAUACGUUUCAAUGUCCCACAAAAACUAGUAAACAAAAACUUAAUUUACAAUUUUGUUGUUGUUGGUUGUUGCCCUAUUUAUUUUCCUUGUAGAAUAUUAACGCCCAACAUUCAAGGUUCGGUGGUCACGAUGGCACCAUUUUUUUUCUUUUCAAUCUCCUAUUUUUUCGUGUGUCUGCGCAGGGAAUUCAAAGAGAUUAAUGGUUUAAUAAGCCAUUAUAAUAAUCUCUAGAGAUGCUGCCACAUCAGUAUAUUGUACGGACUUUUGAACUUUGAUCACCUCCCACAUCAAAUUGUCUUAUCGCUGUUUAUACCAUAACAUUGGCGAAGGGAAUGGGUUUCUUCAUUGUUAUCUAAAGCCCCUGUUGAUAAACAUCCGACAACAAACAAAUGAUGAAAGAAAAAAAAAAGUCAGUGUUUUCUCGCCCCACGCACAAAAAUUAUCGCAUUAAAAUUGAAAAUGUAAGAGUACCCGUGUUUAUUAUGGCAAACAACUGUCGAAAAUAUUGGCAAUGUAGGAGAAAUUGGCUCGAAUUAUGAUUCACGAAGGGCACUUGUCAAAAAUUAGAAAAUAAAUAAGACAUAAUUGAGGGUUUAACACGGUCAUUUUUGAAAAACGGCGCAAAUUAAUAGAAAUUCGCACUCAAGGAAAAAAAAAAAACCAUUAAAAUAAUAUAAAUAAAUGUAUCCAACGCUUUUACCUUGAGCAACAUCAAGAAAAUCUCUAGCAAGUAAACCGGAAUUUAAAAUGUGAAGAAAAAAAUUUACGUCAACAAUUGAU